rnacentral:lncRNA from 1 species
CCUUAACCCCAGCAUCUCUGAACCUCUGACCCAGCCCUGGACUUCCAACUUUCAGACUUCUUUCACUCCUGCUUCUUCCUCACAGGUACACCAGGGCAUCCAGCACAUUGAUUUGUCCCCUCUCGCCUUAGCCUGUCUCCUGCCACAGUUGUCUCAUUUUGGUGAAGUGCGUGUCCAGGUUUCCCCUUGCUCCCAGCUGCAACAUGGAUCUGUGAAAGACAGUACAGCAGAAAAGUCUUCACAUCCUGGCUCUCUCUGCCCUUCAUUGUCUUUAAGCUCUUUAACAACUUUUACUUGGAGAGGAAAACAACUCUCUAGACAGGAACAUGGAGCAGCAGAGGGAGAAAUUGUGUGUUUACUGAUUUCAGUCAAUUAUUGCAGUGACCACAUGUCUCAGGAGUGUUGAUGUCCAGAUGAGGGCUGACCCAUGAAAGGUCAGCAAGGAAAAAGGAGGACCUAUACUUUCCUCGGUUUGUAAGUUGUAAAAGACCCAUGGAAUGCCAACUAUCCUUGUCCAUGGACAUGUGGACAGACUGUCCAGUGGCUAUCAUCAAUUUUGCAUCUAUUUUCAAAUUCUAUGUCAGCAUUCCUAUUGUCCUAGCUAUGCGUGGCAUUUUUAAUUCUCCUUUGGGCUGGUUGUAGCAUCUUACUGGUUCCCU